rnacentral:rRNA from 1 species
UACGAAGGGGGCUAGCGUUGCUCGGAAUCACUGGGCGUAAAGCGCACGUAGGCGGCUUUUUAAGUCAGGGGUGAAAUCCUGGAGCUCAACUCCAGAACUGCCUUUGAUACUGAGAAGCUUGAGUCCGGGAGAGGUGAGUGGAACUGCGAGUGUAGAGGUGAAAUUCGUAGAUAUUGGGAAGAACACCGGUGGCGAAGGCGGCCAUCUGGACCGCAACUGACGCUGAGGCGCGAAAGCGUGGGGAGCAAACAGG